GACGAACGCUGGCGGCGUGCUUAACACAUGCAAGUCGAACGGAAAGGCCCUGCUUUUGUGGGGUGCUCGAGUGGCGAACGGGUGAGUAACACGUGAGUAACCUGCCCUUGACUGUGGGAUAACUUCAGGAAACUGGGGCUAAUACCGGAUAGGAGCUCCUGCUGCAUGGUGGGGGUUGGAAAGUUUCGGCGGUGGGGGAUGGACUCGCGGCUUAUCAGCUUGUUGGUGGGGUAGUGGCUUACCAAGGCUUUGACGGGUAGCCGGCCUGAGAGGGUGACCGGCGACAUGGGGACUGCGAUACGGCCCAGACUCCUACGGGAGGCAGCAGUGGGGAAUAUUGCACAAUGGGCGGGAGCCUGAUGCAGCAGCGCCGCGUGCGGGAUGCCGGCCUUCGGGUUAUGAACCGCUUUCGCCUGUGACGAAGCGUGGGUGACGGUAAUGGGUAAAGAAGCACCGGCUAACUACGUG
rnacentral:rRNA from 1 species